rnacentral:sRNA from 1 species
AUCGAUAUUCAGUAUUUGGGUCAAUAUUCGGACAUUAUCCAGUUCCGACAAAUGGCUUCUAGGCACGGGCAGGCCCUUGACCACCUAAAGCAGAAUAUGAUCUUGUUUGAUUUGCUUUAAUAUUUGUAACAACUUUCUACUCAUUCAAUCCUUGGAGCUAAGAGACCGCUGAUUUAUGGAUAUGUUUAGAGUCAGUGCUUGCGACAGAUUGAAGUAUACAGUGCUUUCUUGCUGAGCUGUUGAUGAAUCAGUCAACUUAUUGCAUAUGCUUUGCUUCCUAUCAUGAUUCACAAAUUUUGUAACUGAAUUGAUUUUCUCCUGCCAUCAUUUUCACUCCCCGCUCUUCAUUCUUCACUGUGCACCUUUCCAGCCUCAAAUCAAAUAUUUGGGGGUACAAUUGAUGUCAUUCCUCUGUACGGAGUACGGAAGCUCCUAUAAAAAGGUUUGACCCACAGACAUCUCGUUACUAGUGGAAAGGAACUUUUGCUUGUGGCAUUGGGCCAUGUUUAGAGAGCUAGUGAGCAAGCCACAGACAUCGAUCACCCCUAAAGCUAGCCUUCUUAAUUAAGAGAUGGAUUGGCAAUAUGGGUUCCUUGAUGCUAGUAAUCUGUAUAAAUAUUUCAGUUCAAAUGCCUAGUGUGAGUCAAAGUUUUUUACAGCACCAUCUGUAAAGAUAGUUAUGUCAUGUUUGGGCC